AAGUCGUAACAAGGUUUCCGUAGGUGAACCUGCGGAAGGAUCAUUACCAAAGAAGAACAGAAAACCACUUCAGGGAGGCGGACCUGACGGACGUCUUGAACCCUGUUGGGACCACCCUAUACCUGCGAAACGCCACCGUCCUAGCGGUGGCGGACGAUGAAUCAGGCACGGUGGCCCGUUUACCUUCACAUAAUUCCCUGCGUACCACUUCCACGUUGCUUCCCCCGCAAUCCUCACCCAUUGCAUUGGAUCGGCAGGGACGGUCCGGGGAUCCGUCAAUCCAAAAACCAAAGCCAGCCACUUGCCACCUCAAACAGCAGUCAGACGACCAAUGACAAAAUCAUUAAAAA
rnacentral:misc_RNA from 1 species